CAUGCUUCUGGCUCAUCUGUGAUCACCAGGAAACUCCCAGACCUGACACUGGUGCAUUUCACUGCUGACGAAAGGGCUGCUGCCACUAGCCUAUGGAGCAAGGUUGAUGUGAGAAGGCUGGAGGUGAGAUUCUGGGCAGUCUCCUGGUCGUCUACCCAUGGAUCCAGAGGUACUUUGAGAGUUUUGGCAAUCUGGGCUCUGACUGUAACUCCAAAGUCAAGGCACAUGCAAGAAGGUGCUGAUCUCCUUCAGAAAAGCUGUUAGGCUCAUGGAUGACCUCAUAAGGCACCUUUGCUAUGCUGAAUGACUUGCACUGUGACAAGCUAUACAUGGACCCUGAGAACUUCCUUCUCUUAGGCAACGUGAUAUUGAUGGUUUUGGCAACCCACUUCAGCAAGGAGUUUACCCUACAGAUACAGGCUUCCGGGAAAAGACCGACAAACGCUGUGGCCUGCAAUUACCACUGAGCUCCCCGUCCACUGUGUUUGGAGCUACUGGUCCACUAUGUUUGUACCCAUGUCCUAAAAGCUUAUCUCCUUUAGAUGGAGGAUGUUGGGGAGAAGAGCAAUAUUCUGCCUGCAGACUCAGCUCCUGCAUGAUAAAAAUAAAAUAAAUAAAUGUGCUCUCUAAGAAA